rnacentral:tRNA from 1 species
UCCCUGGUGGUUCAGUGGCUAAACUUCACACUCCCAAUGCAGAGAUCCCAGGUUUUAUUCCUGGUUGGGGAA